rnacentral:rRNA from 1 species
UAGGGAAUCUUCGGCAAUGGGGGCAACCCUGACCGAGCAACGCCGCGUGAGUGAAGAAGGUUUUCGGAUCGUAAAGCUCUGUUGUAAGUCAAGAACGAGUGUGAGAGUGGAAAGUUCACACUGUGACGGUAGCUUACCAGAAAGGGACGGCUAACUACGUGCCAGCAGCCGCGGUAAUACGUAGGUCCCGAGCGUUGUCCGGAUUUAUUGGGCGUAAAGCGAGCGCAGGCGGUUAGAUAAGUCUGAAGUUAAAGGCUGUGGCUUAACCAUAGUACGCUUUGGAAACUGUUUAACUUGAGUGCAGAAGGGGAGAGUGGAAUUCCAUGUGUAGCGGUGAAAUGCGUAGAUAUAUGGAGGAACACCGGUGGCGAAAGCGGCUCUCUGGUCUGUAACUGACGCUGAGGCUCGAAAGCGUGGGGAGCAAACAGGAUUAGAUACCCUGGUAGUCCACGCCGUAAACGAUGAGUGCUAGGUGUUGGAUCCUUUCCGGGAUUCAGUGCCGCAGCUAACGCAUUAAGCACUCCGCCUGGGGAGUACGACCGCAAGGUUG